AAUUGAAUAGCUGGGUCAAAUGGUGGUUCCAUUCCAAAUAUUCCAAGGAAUUUCCAUACUGCUUUCCAGAUUGGUUGCACCAAUUUGCAGUCCCACCAGUGAU
rnacentral:pre_miRNA from 1 species